UAGGGAAUCUUCGGCAAUGGGGGGUACCCUGACCGAGCAACGCCGCGUGAGUGAAGAAGGUUUUCGGAUCGUAAAGCUCUGUUGUUAAGGAAGAACGAGUGUGAGAAUGGAAAGUUCAUACUGUGACGGUACUUAACCAGAAAGGGACGGCUAACUACGUGCCAGCAGCCGCGGUAAUACGUAGGUCCCGAGCGUUGUCCGGAUUUAUUGGGCGUAAAGCGAGCGCAGGCGGUUAGAUAAGUCUGAAGUUAAAGGCAGUGGCUCAACCAUUGUAGGCUUUGGAAACUGUUUAACUUGAGUGCAGAAGGGGAGAGUGGAAUUCCAUGUGUAGCGGUGAAAUGCGUAGAUAUAUGGAGGAACACCGGUGGCGAAAGCGGCUCUCUGGUCUGUAACUGACGCUGAGGCUCGAAAGCGUGGGGAGCGAACAGG
rnacentral:rRNA from 1 species